CUGCGAAUGGCUCAUUAUAUAAGUUAUCGUUUAUUUGAUAGUACCUUACUACUUGGAUAACCGUGGUAAUUCUAGAGCUAAUACAUGCUAAAAAUCCCGACUUCGGAAGGGAUGUAUUUAUUAGAUUAAAAACCAAUGCCCUCUGGGCUCUCUGGUGAUUCAUAAUAACUUCUCGAAUCGCAUGGCCUUGCGCCGGCGAUGGUUCAUUCAAAUUUCUUCCCUAUCAACUUUCGAUGUUUGGGUAGUGGCCAAACAUGGUUGCAACGGGUAACGGAGGGUUAGGGCUCGACCCCGGAGAAGGAGCCUGAGAAACGGCUACUACAUCCAAGGAAGGCAGCAGGCGCGCAAAUUACCCAAUCCCGAUUCGGGGAGGUAGUGACAAUAAAUACUGAUACAGGGCUCUUUUGGGUCUUGUAAUUGGAAUGAGUACAAUUUAAAUCCCUUAACGAGGAACAAUUGGAGGGCAAGUCUGGUGCCAGCAGCCGCGGUAAUUCCAGCUCCAAUAGCGUAUAUUAAAGUUGUUGUGGUUAAAAAGCUCGUAGUUGAACCUUGGGCCUGGCUGGCCGGUCCGCCUCACCGCGUGUACUGGUCCGGCCGGGCCUUUCCCUCUGUGGAACCCCAUGCCCUUCACUGGGUGUGGCGGGGAAACAGGACUUUUACUUUGAAAAAAUUAGAGUGCUCCAGGCAGGCCUAUGCUCGAAUACAUUAGCAUGGAAUAAUGAAAUAGGACGUGCGGUUCUAUUUUGUUGGUUUCUAGGACCGCCGUAAUGAUUAAUAGGGACAGUCGGGGGCAUCAGUAUUCAAUUGUCAGAGGUGAAAUUCUUGGAUUUAUUGAAGACUAACUACUGCGAAAGCAUUUGCCAAGGAUGUUUUCAUUAAUCAGGAACGAAAGUUAGGGGGAUCGAAGACGAUCAGAUACCGUCGUAGUCUUAACCAUAAACUAUGCCGACUAGGGAUCGGACGAUGUAAUUUUUGACUCGUUCGGCACCUUACGAGAAAUCAAAGUGC
rnacentral:rRNA from 1 species